GAUGAACGCUAGCUACAGGCUUAACACAUGCAAGUCGAGGGGAAACGGCAUUGAGUGCUUGCACUCUUUGGACGUCGACCGGCGCACGGGUGAGUAACGCGUAUCCAACCUUCCCAUUACUGUGGGAUAACCUGCCGAAAGGCAGACUAAUACCGCAUAGUCUUCGAUGACGGCAUCAGAUUUGAAGUAAAGAUUUAUCGGUAAUGGAUGGGGAUGCGUCUGAUUAGCUUGUUGGCGGGGUAACGGCCCACCAAGGCUACGAUCAGUAGGGGUUCUGAGAGGAAGGUCCCCCACAUUGGAACUGAGACACGGUCCAAACUCCUACGGGAGGCAGCAGUGAGGAAUAUUGGUCAAUGGACGGAAGUCUGAACCAGCCAAGUAGCGUGCAGGAUGACGGCCCUAUGGGUUGUAAACUGCUUUUGUAUGGGGAUAAAGUUAGGGACGGGUCCCUAUUUGCAGGUACCAUACGAAUAAGAACCGGCUAAUUCCGUG
rnacentral:rRNA from 1 species